GUGAGAUCUUGUUAGAUUCGUCUCAACGUGUAUUUUCAAAAUAUUAACUUUUUAUAAUUUUUGCAUAAAGAGAAUUUAAGAUAUAAAUGAUCAAAGUUGUGCAUUGACAUGCGUGAAACUAACAAACGUUGCGAGUAUUAAAAGACGGAGGAAGUAUAAAAUAAUAAAAAAAGAAAUGUAAAAAUAACAAAAGACCCGUCAUGUAAGAUAACGGGUCUCUAUUUUCAUUCAUUUCCCAGCGCCAAACUUUCGCAGAACCCAAUUUCACCCUAGCUAUUUUGUCUUUUCCCUUUUCUUCUUCUUCUUCUUCUUCCCUGGACAUACAAACAAGUAGGGCAAGAAAUCCAUUCGCGAACUCAUCACGAACUCACCACCACCGGCGAAUCUACAACCGAAGAAAUACUUUACGGUUUGCGACUUCACUACCACCGGCGACCUCAACACAAUCUCUAGCGAACUACAAAUUUAGUUUCCACAAGAAACUUAUUCAUCGGAAAAUGUUGACGAGGUUAGAGACUUGUGGGUCGAGUAUUUGCUCAAGCCAGAUGAUGGUAUGCAAAUAACUCCAUGAGUUUUGGUUCCAAUAUUGGUAAAUUGAUGUGAAUAAUUAGGAUUUAGAACUUUUUGUUUUACGUUUUUGGAAAUUACGAUGUCAAGGUUUUACGUUAAUAAAAAUUACAAUUAAUGUAAAGCUGUUGCGUUUUGAGAAUUACUUGUGGGAAUAUAUUUUUUGGUAACAUUAUGGACUAUUAUGGAAUGUUUAUUGAAUUAUUACGAAA